GUGCUUGCUUUGGCAGCACAUAUGCUAAAAUUGGCACUACGCAGAGAAUAUUAGCAUGGCCCCUGAGCAAAGAUGAUACACAAAUUCAUGGAGUGUUCCAUAUUUUU